rnacentral:rRNA from 1 species
GACGAACGCUGGCGGCGCGCCUAACACAUGCAAGUCGAACGGAGUUAUUUUCUUUACUCCGAGUUCUUUGCACGCUUCCGGUAAGCGGCAAUUCCUUUUGCGAAGAAAAAUGAAUUUAGGCUUAUUUAGUAAGACGGACACGGAAGGCAGAGGAUUGGGAGUAAAGAAAAUAACUUAGUGGCGAACGGGUGAGUAACGCGUGAGUAACCUGCCCUGGAGUGGGGGACAACAGUUGGAAACGACUGCUAAUACCGCAUAAGACCACAGCCUCGCAUGGGGCAGGGGAAAGAUUAUUGCUUUGAGAUGAGCUCGCGUCCAAUUAGCUAGUUGGUGAGGUAACGGCCCACCAAGGCGACGAUUGGUAGCCGGACUGAGAGGUUGAACGGCCACAUUGGGACUGAGAUACGGCCCAGACUCCUACGGGAGGCAGCAGUGGGAAUAUUGCACAAUGGGGGGAACCCUGGAUGCAGCGACGCCGCGUGGAGGAAGAAGGGUCUUCGGAUUGUAAACUCCUGUUGUUAGGACGAUAA